rfam:Dipodomys ordii contig_71763, whole genome shotgun sequence.
GGGGAGGUGGCUCAGUGGUAGAGCGCUUGCCUUGCACGCAUGAGGUCCUGGGUUCAAUUCCUCAGCAUCACAU